AGAGCGAACGCUGGCGGCAGGCUUAACACAUGCAAGUCGAACGGACCCUUCGGGGUUAGUGGCGGACGGGUGAGUAACACGUGGGAACGUGCCUUUUGGUUCGGAACAACACAGGGAAACUUGUGCUAAUACCGGAUGUGCCCUUCGGGGGAAAGAUUUAUCGCCAUUAGAGCGGCCCGCGUCUGAUUAGCUAGUUGGUGGGUAAAGGCCUACCAAGGCUACGAUCAGUAGCUGGUCUGAGAGGAUGACCAGCCACAUUGGGACUGAGACACGGCCCAAACUCCUACGGGAGGCAGCAGUGGGGAAUCUUGCGCAAUGGCGAAAGCCUGACGCAGCCAUGCCGCGUGAAUGAUGAAGGUCUUAGGAUUGUAAAAUUCUUUCACCGGGACGAUAAUGACGGUACCCGGAGAAGAAGCCCGGCUAACUUCGUGCCAGCAGCCGC
rnacentral:rRNA from 1 species